GACAUAGGUGACGAACGUUAUCCGGAAUUAUUGGGCGUAAAGGGUGCGUAGGCGGCGCGGUAAGUCGGAUGUGAAAUCUCGGAGCUUAACUCCGAAACUGCAUUCGAUACUGCCGUGCUUGAGGACUGGAGAGGAGACUGGAAUUUACGGUGUAGCGGUGAAAUGCGUAGAUAUCGUAAGGAAGACCAGUGGCGAAGGCGGGUCUCUGGACAGUUCCUGACGCUGAGGCACGAAGGCCAGGGGAGCAAACGGG
rnacentral:rRNA from 1 species